rnacentral:rRNA from 1 species
UACGUAGGGGGCAAGCGUUGUCCGGAUUUAUUGGGCGUAAAGAGCGUGUAGGCGGUUUGGUAGGUCCGCUGUGAAAACUCGAGGCUCAACCUCGAGACGCCGGCGGAAACCAUCAGACUAGAGUCCGGAAGAGGAGAGUGGAAUUCCUGGUGUAGCGGCGAAAUGCGCAGAUAUCAGGAAGAACACCCGUGGCUAAGGCGGCUCUCUAGUACGGUACUGACGCUGAGACGCGAAAGCGUGGGGAGCGAACAGG